AAACAAGUUUAUAAUAUGAAGAUCGCAAAAGAAAAUGUUUUGUAACUGCAUUAACUGUACUGAACACUUGAUGUAAUAAUAUAAAUACUAAUUCAGUACACUGACCAAGAGACAAACAAGAUGAUAUGUGAUUGAAUUCACUACUCAAACAUUGACAUAGUUCUAUACACAAAGUUUUCUUAUUAUAAUCUGUGAUGAAUUUUAAUUGAGAUUCAUUUGUUUCAGAAAACUGUGAACAUGAAAAACAAUUAAUAUUAAAGUAUUUAAUUGUGUCGGCUAAAAUUGAUGGAUUUUCAUGGUGAGCAGAAUGUAAUUUCAUUGGUGUUCCUUUAUUCUGUGAGAACAUUUUUAUGCUUAACAUCUUAUAUUAGUAUUGGAAGAAAUAAGUUUCUGUUUAAAUUUUACAUUAUAAGCCAUUUCCAAAAUUCAUUGCUGUGAACAGUUGUCCCCAUGUGUCACUACUUAAAUACAGACUUGAUUUCUGUGCUAAAAAUUCUGUUCUUACCAUAGUA